UACGAAGGGGGCGAGCGUUGUUCGGAAUUACUGGGCGUAAAGGGCGCGUAGGCGGCGACCCAAGUCAGAUGUGAAAGUCCUGGGCUUAACCUGGGGACUGCAUUUGAUACUGGGUUGCUUGAAUUCGGGAGAGGAUAGCGGAAUUCCCAGUGUAGAGGUGAAAUACGUAGAGAUUGGGAAGAACACCAGUGGCGAAGGCGGCUAUCUGGACGGUUUCUGACACUAAGACUCGAAAGCGUGGGGAGCAAACAGG
rnacentral:rRNA from 1 species